UUCGUUCUAACAAGAUUUUUCUAUCAAGCAAUCUGUAUUGUUGCAUAGAAUACACCGCAUCUGAAGGAAUUAAAAUCUAAGGCUUUAAAAUAAAUUAUUUUUCAUGCACUUCUUCCAAUACCAUCUAUUCUCCAACCUACAAACUAUUCUAAUCCACUUAUCCAUAAUUCAUCUCUUCUCAAGGUUGCCGCUUCUACACAUGUUUGAUAAAAAUAUCCACUUUCAAUCAAACAUUGAAGAGGACAAAACUACUAGUCAUUUUCUCACUAACACCUAACGAAAAUCUAUUCUUUAACCAGUUUUCAUAGUUUACUGCCCACAUAUGUUCACCAUUGUAGCUCCAUCAUACCUUUCAUUAAUGCCAUGCUACCCAGUUUUUUCUACACGUUUGGAAAGCAGAGGCGUUCCCUCAUUUACCAAGUUGGGUUCACAAAGCCAGCGGCAGGAUGGCCGUGAACCCUAAUUUCACAUGGUGCCAUGGGGCGCGUGCUUUCCACGCCAAACGUCGUCCUUUCCUUCGAAGCUGAGUGAGUGAAGUGAGUGAGAGUGCGUGGCCAUCGCCAGAGCUGGGACGCGGAGACCCAUUAUCUCAAAGCGAAGCCUUGACGAACCUCAUUUCACUCUCUCACGAAUCUGCUCGGGGUAUAUUUACAUCCACCCCACGACGCCACAAACCUCUGUGGGCACGUCGAAAUUGGAUGUGUACAGACAUUGAUAUGUACAGACUUCUCUGCCAGCUGCGCCUCUCAGUUGGGUUUUGAAAAGCUUUUCUUCAUUAAGCAACUGCCGAUGCAGAAACGAUCUUAGUUGCCACAUCAGAUAUGCCUUGCUUCCAGCACUUCCAUAAGAGGGGCGAUUACAUUGAAUCACUCCAUAUUUACUAUUAAAAAAGGAUUCCGAAACCAGAGGCGCGAGGCUUUACCUGCAAUUACUGCGUCCCUCUUGGAAGUGGAAGCAUGAGGCCUACAACUCUCGAAUUUUGCAUCUGAAUGCAGUGGACUCUUCCAUAAAGGAGCCUAGAAUUCAACUGCAGCAGCCUUUGACCGCAAACAUUCCAAGCCUGGGCUACGAAUAACUUUCAGCACGUCCCUUGGAUGGUCAUAUGGGGUGCAAGAAUCAUGCCAUUCUCUCUUUGAAGAACUUCAAACCAAAAACUUCUCUUUCUCUCUCUCUUUCACAUAUUUACCUGCUUUGUAUAUUAAAAAAAGGGAAAAUUUCAAAAAUGCCCCCGCAGAUUGCUGAAAUAUCAAGAACACCCCUGUAUCCUUGAUAAUCGCAAAACUGCCCCUCAUACCCCAGAUAAUAUCUAACCUACCCCUGACCCUGAUAACCUCUCGUUCUCAUUCCACAUUUAGUGCAAAAUGGAUCCUGUAGCGUGUGCCGUGCACACUUCGGCACGGCACUGCGUUUGUUUUCUGGCAAGUUCCCGAUUUCUUCGCCGACGGUGCCGCUGCUGGCCGUAUUUAUUUAUUUAUAUACACACAUUUGAAUGUGGGUGGCAAAUUGGCCUUUGCAAAACAGCAAGUAUGGGCUUUACAUGACAGUGUGAUCAUGAGAAAGUCUUGAUAUAAGUGACUGUGGAGUUGAUCUCUCUUUACAAGUUUGAAGCAUGAUGUGGCUUUUGACCUUCUUUUAGAAUGAAAAAAUCAAUCAAUAAAUAAAUACUAUUUUAUGUCUCUUAUUUACAACUACAAGAAGGAUUAAGAUUGUAAAAGAAGAAUAUUUUUUAUGCAUAUACAUAUAUAUAUAUAUAUAUAUAUAUAUAGAUUGAUUAUAAGAUAAUUUAAAGCUAUAGACUUUAUUAUCUUAGGUCCAAAUAUCCAACUUAUAGUGUUUAUAACUUCAUUUUCAUAAAAAAAAGAAAUAUUAAUUUUUUUCAA